AGUGAACGCUGGCGGUAGGCCUAACACAUGCAAGUCGAACGGCAGCACAGUAAGAGCUUGCUCUUACGGGUGGCGAGUGGCGGACGGGCGAGGAAUACAUCGGAAUCUACUUUUUCGUGGGGGAUAACGUAGGGGAACUUACGCUAAUACCGCAUACGACCUACGGGUGAAAGUAGGGGAUCUUCGGACCUUGCGCGAUUGAAUGAGCCGAUGUCGGAUUAGCUAGUUGGCGGGGUAAAGGCCCACCAAGGCGACGAUCCGUAGCUGGUCUGAGAGGAUGAUCAGCCACACUGGAACUGAGACACGGUCCAGACUCCUACGGGAGGCAGCAGUGGGGAAUAUUGGACAAUGGGCGCAAGCCUGAUCCAGCCAUACCGCGUGGGUGAAGAAGGCCUUCGGGUUGUAAAGCCCUUUUGUUGGGAAAGAAAAGCAGCAGGUUAAUACCCCGCUGUUCUGACGGUACCCAAAGAAUAAGCACCGGCUAACUUCGUG
rnacentral:rRNA from 1 species